AUCGUUCCGCGUGAGUGAUGGCAGUGGAGCUCUUAUUUUGAAAGGCGCUUCAGCCUUUUGAAAAAAAGCGGGAACGUACAGCACGACCCGAA
rnacentral:misc_RNA from 1 species